UACGAAGGGGGCUAGCGUUGCUCGGAAUCACUGGGCGUAAAGCGCACGUAGGCGGACUCUUAAGUCGGUGGUGAAAUCCUGGAGCUCAACUCCAGAACUGCCUUCGAUACUGGGAGUCUCGAGUCCGGGAGAGGUGAGUGGAACUGCGAGUGUAGAGGUGAAAUUCGUAGAUAUUCGCAAGAACACCAGUGGCGAAGGCGGCUCACUGGCCCGGUACUGACGCUGAGGUGCGAAAGCGUGGGGAGCAAACGGG
rnacentral:rRNA from 1 species